AUGGAUGGGUCUUUCCCGAAGCACGAGCUGGUCUCGAGGGCUCGGGUCAGCAGUGCGCGCGUGCAGCACGUACCCCUUGGACAUGCACCGUUCUCACUACCAGAUGUGGUCGGGCAUGGGCCGGAACAUCCGGGUGCUUUGCCACGCUUUGGACUCGACGAGCGUGGUUUUGUGACUGCGAGGUGGACACAUGGACUCCGGCUCUUGAAGGGAAUCCAAUACUGCUACUGGCAGGGGAAAAGAAGACGGGCCUCUAACAGCUUCCAUGUGGACGUUUCGCAGCCGGUUGGGCCGGUCCCUGUCGAUUCAGUGACGUGGACCGGCGGGCGAGGACUCCUCUAAGACCUGGACUGACGGACGCAACCGGGAACCCAGAUCUGCCUCUGCCCAACUCACCCAGACUGGGAGCCACAUUCUCAUCUAUUCUCUCCAUCCAGCUGUGGCACCAAAGAAAGAGGCUCUGUCCCAAACUGGCGGGGCAUCAUGGCAUUCGCAGGAGUCGACUCGGGAUAGAUGGGAACUGUAGAAAAACACACACACACAGAUUUCACGUUUAUUUUAUGGCAGACACACUGAUUCCCAGUUAGUCCAAUACCGACAGAUCCUCCUUCCUGUAGGUCUAAUUGCUGGCCGUUAAACUUUUCUCCACACCUCUGCAGAACGUCUGUAUUCAUUAAUUUUCCUUUUCCUGCGAACGAAAUUUUCACACUGGCUUCUUGUCAGUCUGGAGGAUUCUCAUGCUCGUCAAAGACCAUAUAUUUCAGCUAAACAUCUUUUUUCAUUCUGUAACUCAGCUGCUGGUGCAUAAAAUGAUAGUGGCACGACAAUCUGCAUGUUUAAACCAGGGAGACGGAGGGCAUCAGCUGCUCUCUGUGAGUAUCUGAUUUAGUUUGGUCAAUUUUCACACUGCUGUGAGAACGCGGUCUCGGUACAGACACCGUUUCAAUGAAAUUCUGGUGAAUUGGUAAGAAAAUAACAGUUGGCAGUGUACGCAGAAGUGCUUUAAUGUGUGGCCGUGCCACAAUAAAUAUGCCGCGCAUAGAGUCA
rnacentral:lncRNA from 1 species